rnacentral:rRNA from 1 species
AUUGAACGCUGGCGGCAGGCCUAACACAUGCAAGUCGAACGGUAACAGGAAGCAGCUUGCUGCUUCGCUGACGAGUGGCGGACGGGUGAGUAAUGUCUGGGAAGCUGCCUGAUGGAGGGGGAUAACUACUGGAAACGGUAGCUAAUACCGCAUAAUGUCGCAAGACCAAAGAGGGGGACCUUCGGGCCUCUUGCCAUCGGAUGUGCCCAGAUGGGAUUAGCUUGUUGGUGGGGUAACGGCUCACCAAGGCGACGAUCCCUAGCUGGUCUGAGAGGAUGACCGGCCACACUGGAACUGAGACACGGUCCAGGCUCCUACGGGAGGCAGCAGUGGGGAAUAUUGGACAAUGGGCGCAAGCCUGAUGCAGCCAUGCCGCGUGUAUGAAGAAGGCCUUCGGGUUGUAAAGUACUUUCAGCGGGGAGGAAGGGAGUAAAGUUAAUACCUUUGCUCAUUGACGUUACCCGCAGAAGAAGCACCGGCUAACUCCGUG